AAAUGAAAACACGAAGAGAGGCCGGGCAUUUAGCAGUGACAAUCUCCGCGAUUUGGCUUGGAUUUCCGAGAUGUGCUGUCAAUUCCGACCAAUUUUCACUGCAAUUUAUGACCAGAUGUAAUUACCGGAAGCAUGAACAUGAGUUUGUACUGGUGUCAUGGAAUCUAAUGGAGUUGUUUUGGUGCUAUGCGGCGUCUUAUUUCGGCAGUAUUUUUGAGCAGCCUGAAUCAACGUAUCGGGACUACCGCCUAUCGCGUACCGGUCAAUCCACGGAGUGUACAGGGAGCUUGGCGCACUAGCGUGCUGCUUCCCUGAUCGCCGUCAUGUCUUUACUCUGUGUGUGUGUGAAAAAGGCCGUCUUGGAUGGACCAGCAGAUAAAUUCAACUCCUACGUGACCCUUAAGCUGCAGAAUGUCAAGUCGACCACGGUGGCUGUGAAGGGAAGCUGGCCCUCCUGGGAGCAGGAUUUCAUG